rnacentral:lncRNA from 1 species
GCUCUACGAACUUUUUAUCUAUUUUAUUCUAAAUCUAACUCAAAUCCUAUGAGCAUUAACCUCUUUAAUUCCACUUUGAAAAAAGUAUAAGCUUUAGGAGACAGUCAGCAAAGGAAGAAACAACUUGGUCAGCAAAGGAAGAAACAAUGAUGACACCUAGCCUUCUCAGUGCGCCCCUUUAUGUUCCAGUGUUCUCUGCAAAUUUCUUCUCUUUAUUGUCCUCCGUGGUUCCUUUGCAGUCUCCUUUGAUUUCAAACUCGGUACAGUCGACAGAGCCAAAUAUCUACUCUCCGAGGCGCCCGGGCCCUCCACCCUUUACUAAAUUGAAACACCCUCUGCUACUGGAGCACUACUGCUUCUGUGACAGAAAAUCUCACGUAAAAAUGGGGCAUGAAUAGUUAUUAUGUACUCCUACCAGCAACUCUUUUAUUCCAGUGAAAUCACACAUAAGCUAUGUACCAUGUUAUUAAGAUGAACUUUUUGUGCUUGAGAGCUAUGCAUGCAACCACCAAGCGAUUAGGGGGUAUUAUUUUUUGCCUUAAGAGACUUUGUGUUUUUAAGUUAACUUGUGUUGCUCGCUUUCAUGGAUCUAGGAGAUAACAGACGAGGUAUCAGCCUCAGGUAGCUCACUAGCUAGAUUAACUCCGACCGUGCUCUUUGAUGUAUAAGUCAGAAAGGGUUUGAAGUGGGAACAAAUUAAGGAAGAAGAAAGAAUAUAGAGAUAGUGUCUCCUAGCUAAGAUGAUCUUUGCAUUACCUUUUCGUAGAGGGCUUCUAGAUUUUUUUAUAACGAAGACCUCGAAUCUUCUAAGAUAGCAUCUUAAUAAAUUCGAGACCGUAAUAUAUAUUAAUAUGGCACAACAAUCUUGAGGACAUGCUAUAACAACUUGGCAUGCAAUGGUAUUGCUAGAGCCUCAUGCAUAUUUGGGUAGAAGAGCUAAAUCUACUCCGUAGUAAGAAUAUUCCAUUUGGCUUGGACCGAUGAUCAUGCUGACCGGUUGUUGGGUCGGUUUGAAUUAUCUCAGCUUUGCAGACCAAUUACUCCUAAUCUACUCAUUCCAACAUCAGAUUGGCAAAGAAAAAAAAAAAGAGAGGAUUGCGACUAAAAUAUCUUGAAGAAUUUUUGAACAGAUACGGAGUUGUCAUGAGCUAGAUAAAUACCAUGCAAUCAUGUUUGUUGGAUGCCAUAUUACCAUGGAAAAAAUAGGUACAGUUGGAAGUGUAUUUAAUAUGAGCUGGUCCAACCCAUGGGCUCUACCUUGGAAUGGAUGCAUUGCAUGGUUUGCCGAAGUGACGGUGUUGAUAUCACAAACGUGAUGCUUCCUCUAUAGGCCCUGCUUCAUUUGUCGUUUCCUCCAGAGGCUUAAAAUUUUGAUCGAUCCGUCCAACAGAUCCAUCAGCAUACCGCCCUGUUGCCGCUUUAAAGUUUGAUCUUUUAGGAAUGGUUGGUUGCGUUGGUGGUAGGUUAUGACCCAGUGUUUAAAUUUCUUCUCAAGGACAGAACAGACCCUUCAUCACCGGCUAAGGUUCGAGCUUAGGUUCAGGG